GUGAGGAAUAUUGGUCAAUGGGCGAGAGCCUGAACCAGCCAAGUCGCGUGAAGGAAGAAGGAUCUAUGGUUCGUAAACUUCUUUUGCAGGGGAAUAAAGUGCGGGACGUGUCCUGUUUUGUAUGUACCCUGAGAAUAAGGAUCGGCUAACUCCGUGCCAGCAGCCGCGGUAAUACGGAGGAUCCGAGCGUUAUCCGGAUUUAUUGGGUUUAAAGGGUGCGUAGGUGGUUUGAUAAGUCAGCGGUGAAAAUUUGCAGCUUAACUGUAAAAAUGCCGUUGAAACUGUCGGACUUGAGUGUAAAUGAGGUAGGCGGAAUGCGUGGUGUAGCGGUGAAAUGCAUAGAUAUCACGCAGAACUCCGAUUGCGAAGGCAGCUUACUAAGCUACAACUGACACUGAAGCACGAAAGCGUGGGGAUCAAACAGGAUUAGAAACCCUGGUAGUCC
rnacentral:rRNA from 1 species